ensembl:snRNA U6 U6 spliceosomal RNA
GUGCUUCAGCAGCACAUAUACAAAAAUUGGAAAGAUGCAGAGAAGAUUAGCCCCUGUGCAAGAAUAUAAAGGGUUGAUGAAGAUAUGUAGCAACUGGAA